CACUUCCAUGUUUCCGAAAACAAAUAUGGCUGCUGUUUCUUGAACUGUGUACGAGCUGCACUUGAAUCUGCAGGAAGAAAGAAAGGAGCGUCAUAUCAGAUUACAACGCAGUUUUCCCAACUGCCCCUUUAAUUUUCCAAUAGUGAUAACGAACUGAAGCCAAGAUGCCAGAACGAGAAGGUGCAGAUUCAUAUUCAAAUCCCAUUGCUCCACCUGGGAUGAAUGUGUCAUCUAAUGAAAUCCACCAUCCUAUGACCAAUGAAGACUUUCGUAAGCUUAUUAUGACACCUCGGGCGCCGCCUCAGGCGACGCCGACACCAGCAAAAGAAGAAAGUUUCAGUAAGCCUACACCCCUUGAUGAUGACAAAGGUGAUCAACGGAGAAAAAAGAAAAAAUACUACGCUUCCUUGAAACGUCAAGAAGAAGAUAAGUUAGCCGAACUUGCGGAGAAGUACCGAGACAGAGCACGCGAACGCCGUGACGGCGUCAACCCUGAUUACCAAAAUGAAGACCCAAUCUCUUCAACAGCUGGAUACAGAGCUGUUGCACCCGAUGCAAAAUCUGGCAUGGAUGCUGCAGAACGGAGGCGUCAGAUGAUUCAGGAGUCCAAGUUCUUGGGUGGUGACAUGGAGCACACUCACUUGGUGAAAGGCUUGGACUACGCCCUGCUGCAAAAAGUACGUAGUGAAAUUCAGAACAAGGAGAAGGAGGAUGAAGAGCUGGAAGAAACGCUAACAGGAACCAAGGAAGAACCUGAAGAGGAAAUGGAGUUCAGGACUAUGUUGGGCCGCAACAUCUACCGCCAGUUGUUCCGCCCCCAAAUGAUUGAGAGGAACGACCUGUUUCUUCCCCACCGGAUGGCGUACGUGAUUGACUUGGAAGACGAGUUUGCAGACAGUGAUAUACCCACCACACUGGUUCGCAGCAAAAAGGAUUGUCCAAACCUCGAGAGCCACACGACGCUGACCACCAACGACAUCGUGAUCAACAAGUUGACGCAGAUCCUGUCUUACCUUCGACAAGGUAUACAUAACAGGAAAGGAAAGAAGAAAGACAAGGAUAAGGGAAAAGCACCCGAAAAGGGCAACCAGAAAGUUGCAGAUGAGAGCAUCUAUGGUGACAUUGGAGAGUACGCACCAGAAGUACCAUCGAAAGAUCGCAAGGAUCGGGACCGACACAGGGAACGUGAGAGGGACCGGGAUAGAAACAGGGAGAAGGAGCGGGAUCGGGACCGGGACAGGGACCGCGAAUCCCGGAAGAGGCCGUCGUACUUCGAAAAGCCCAGUCUGGAGGAUGAACGUGAGCACGAGCAGGAGAGGAGCUCCAGAUCGCGUCGCCACGAUUCUCGAUGGUCCAACAACGACGCUUCGAGCUUGGCUGCGAGCAUCGCAAAGGAGGAGCAGAGCGGUCGACUGCGGGCCAAGCUCACUAGCAAGUUGGAGCGGGAUCUGCCCGAAAGCUAUGCCGAGUGCUACCCAGGUGCUCCCGAAAAUGAGGAUGCUGUGGCUGAUAGUGACGAUGAAGUUGACUACUCCAAGAUGGAUCUCGGCAACAAGAAAGGUCCUAUUGGAAGAUGGGAUUUUGACACUCAAGAAGAGUACAGUGACUACAUGAGCCACAAAGAAGCAUUGCCGAAGGCUGCAUUCCAGUACGGAGUCAAAAUGGCAGACGGCCGAAAGACUCGUCGAACUGGCGUUGGCAAGAGGGAUGACAAGGCUAAACUUGAUCGAGAGUUGCAGAAGAUAAACCAGAUCAUUGCUCGAAGAAAGGCAGAGGCUGCUGACGGUGGCGGAGUGGGAACACCAGACUACAAGCGUCCAAGAUACUGAUGGAGCGGCAACCUCCAAAGAGUCUGGAUAAUUCCACUCCCGAGACUUUUUAUCCAACACUGCACUGACACGCUUUCUCCCAGCCAUUUGGGUCUGCUCUGCAGGUCAGGAAUUCGGCUGCGUCGCAUUCAGAAUCUUUGGUGCAAACUUGGUGCAGUUGCAUCUCUGCAAUUACAUUGUUUUCGUUCAGUUUAUUUAUGGAAUAAUUUAUACCUGAGAUCUAUCUUGUCACUUUUCAAGAGUCAUCACUGGCUAAGAAGCGCGUUAACUUCUCAUCCAUGCAUGUCAAAUGUACAAAUUUUCCCCAACGAAUAAAGCAGAGGGCAGGUUCCUUAGCAAGCACCCUUUGCAUGCUAAGAUAUUGCCUGAUCAUGUUGAUAUUGAAAGAGAGGUUCCCAUGUCUAGGUGUGCAGGUACAAAAAAACUGGUACAUGCCGUCACCUGUCUGUAAAGUGCUUAAAUGGCUCAUGUACUGGUUAUUUUGCUUUGUGCCAGUUCAGGAGCUGUGCACUGUGCUCAUAGAACUAGGCAUACAUUUUCACAACACUUGAUUCUGAAUUAUUUGAGCCUAAGCCUACUUGAGCUUGCUUGGGUUAUCCUGGCCUUGCCCAUAAUCUAGGCACUUCAUAGUAAACAUUGUCAUAAUCUUGGUGAAUAGUGUUCGAUUAAACAACCCCUAAAGCACUUACCAGUUGCAUACUUUAACCAAAGAA